AGACAAUAAAGGCCUGAGUUGUUUCGACUGGAGUCAGCGUAAUCAAACAUGGAUUACGAAAUGGAUUGAUGAAGUAGAGUCCGAUGGAGUACGCGAAAAUAGGUAAUUACAUAUUUUAAUUCAUCUUAUCAUCAUGUACCUUCUAAUGUAAUUUAUCACUGAUGCAGAAGGUACAACGGUGAGAUACUGCCAACGUAUAAUGAAUGGUAUCGCGCUAGCACACGGACUCUCCUCACCGGUCCCCCACCAUCGAGUCCGACACACCUCACAUGGGCCUCAGCUUACCACCGUGACACUUCGAUUGACGAGUUCAGGCAGAUCGCACAGGACGCCCAGGACACUUUGAACUUGCGCAACAUGGAUAGUACGGAGGGAAAAUCCAUGGUAAAACGUAUUUUUAAUACUGCCAUUAAAGGGCUUAGGCGUCUUGGUUGCAGCCGUAAUGAUGAUGUUGUCAGUCGAGCAUUCGAUAUGCCGGAGGCACCGUCGAACAGACCGAGUAUGGUACGUGUGAGCCAGCCAUCCGCCACACCGACCGUACCAGUUCCCUCUACCUCGCAUACAUCUAAUCCACGACGCGACUCAUCUCUACUUGAAUGAUCACAGUCAGCACACAUAUCUCAACGCCAUGGCGCCACACAGGAGGACGAUCAUUUUCCGUCAUAUCCAUCUGGACAACGAUUCUCCUACACAGAAGGCGAAUACUCGCAAAGAUUCAACACUCAGGAAUCUGUUGACCCUACGUGGUCCAACAUUGGAGCUGGUUUAGGCCACAAUAUGCCUCCACUUCGUGGUCGUGACCACAUGCAAUCGCAAUACCCAACUCAGGAAUCUUUAAUCCCGACAUGGCCUGAUAUGACGCAGCAACCACAAUACUACGGCAGCACUUCCCAACAACCUCGCGAUCAUGUUACCGGGAUAGUUGAAGAAUUCUUCGGAGGUCCUAUUUUCAGCUCAGAUGCCAGUUUGAUUCCCCCAAAUCAGGAAUCUCCAUACGUAUUUCAUACUCCAUCACCAGCAAAUGAUCCAAGUACAGAGGAUGAGGAAAAUCAGUACGGCCGAGGUUUGCGCCCACCUCAUCCCCCUCGUCCCCGGUUGUCGCCUUCCGGUCGAAAGCCACGGCAGCAACGUCGUCGUCGUCGAGAGGAAUGAUACACAUUUAUGUAUGCGCGCGACAGACAUUUAAUCUAUGUAUGAGACAUUUUUCUAUGUAUCUCGGAGAAAUAUUAAUAUUA